GAUGAAGAACGUAGCGAAAUGCGAUACGUAGUGUGAAUUGCAGAAUUCAGUGAAUCAUCGAAUCUUUGAACGCACAUUGCGCCCUUUGGUAUUCCUUAGGGCAUGCCUGUUCGAGCGUCAUUUAAACCUUCAAGCUCAGCUUGGUGUUGGGUGACUGUCCGCUUCACCGCGGACUCGCCUCAAAAUUAUUGGCGGCCGGUACAUUGGCUCUCGAGCGCAGCAGAAACGCGUAACUCGAGGUCCUCGUGCUGGCUCCCAGAAGCUAUCUUCACAAUUUUGACCUCGGAUCAGGUAGGGAUACCCGCUGAACUUAAGCAUAUCAAUAAGCGGAGGA
rnacentral:misc_RNA from 1 species